AGUGAACGCUGGCGGUAGGCCUAACACAUGCAAGUCGAACGGCAGCACAGUAAGAGCUUGCUCUUACGGGUGGCGAGUGGCGGACGGGUGAGGAAUACAUCGGAAUCUACUUUUUCGUGGGGGAUAACGUAGGGAAACUUACGCUAAUACCGCAUACGACCUACGGGUGAAAGCAGUGGAUCUUCUGACCUUGCGCGAUUGAAUGAGCCGAUGUCGGAUUAGCUAGUUGGCGGGGUAAAGGCCCACCAAGGCGACGAUCCGUAGCUGAUCUGAGAGGAUGAUCAGCAACACUGGAACUGAGACACGGUCCAGACUACUACGGGAGGCAGCAGUGGGGAAUAUUGGAAAAUGGGCGCAAGCAUGAUCCAGCCAUACCGCGUGGGUGAAGAAGGCCUUCGGGUUGUAAAGCCCUUUUGUUGGGAAAGAAAAGCAGCAGGUUAAUACCCCGCUGUUCUGACGGUACCCAAAGAAUAAGCACCGGCUAACUUCGUG
rnacentral:rRNA from 1 species